AGGAAGGUGGGGAUGACGUCAAAUCAUCAUGCCCCUUAUGACCUGGGCUACACACGUGCUACAAUGGACGGUACAAAGAGCUGCAAGACCGCGAGGUGGAGCUAAUCUCAUAAAACCGUUCUCAGUUCGGAUUGUAGGCUGCAACUCGCCUACAUGAAGCUGGAAUCGCUAGUAAUCGCGGAUCAGCAUGCCGCGGUGAAUACGUUCCCGGGCCUUGUACACACCGCCCGUCACACCACGAGAGUUUGUAACACCCGAAGUCGG
rnacentral:rRNA from 1 species